GAUGAACGCUGGCGGCGUGCCUAAUACAUGCAAGUCGAGCGAACAGACGAGGAGCUUGCUCCUCUGACGUUAGCGGCGGACGGGUGAGUAACACGUGGAUAACCUACCUAUAAGACUGGGAUAACUUCGGGAAACCGGAGCUAAUACCGGAUAAUAUAUUGAACCGCAUGGUUCAAUAGUGAAAGACGGUUUUGCUGUCACUUAUAGAUGGAUCCGCGCCGCAUUAGCUAGUUGGUAAGGUAACGGCUUACCAAGGCAACGAUGCGUAGCCGACCUGAGAGGGUGAUCGGCCACACUGGAACUGAGACACGGUCCAGACUCCUACGGGAGGCAGCAGUAGGGAAUCUUCCGCAAUGGGCGAAAGCCUGACGGAGCAACGCCGCGUGAGUGAUGAAGGUCUUCGCAUCGUAAAACUCUGUUAUUAGGGAAGAACAAAUGUGUAAGUAACUAUGCACGUCUUGACGGUACUUAAUCAGAAAGCCACGGCUAACUACGUG
rnacentral:rRNA from 1 species